GAUGAACGCUAGCGGCGUGCCUAAUACAUGCAAGUCGAGCGAACAGACGAGGAGCUUGCUCCUCUGACGUUAGCGGCGGACGGGUGAGUAACACGUGGAUAACCUACCUAUAAGACUGGGAUAACUUCGGGAAACCGGAGCUAAUACCGGAUAAUAUAUUGAACCGCAUGGUUCAAUAGUGAAAGACGGUUUUGCUGUCACUUAUAGAUGGAUCCGCGCCGCAUUAGCUAGUUGGUAAGGUAACGGCUUACCAAGGCAACGAUGCGUAGCCGACCUGAGAGGGUGAUCGGCCACACUGGAACUGAGACACGGUCCAGACUCCUACGGGAGGCAGCAGUAGGGAAUCUUCCGCAAUGGGCGAAAGCCUGACGGAGCAACGACGCGUGAGUGAUGAAGGUCUUCGGAUCGUAAAACUCUGUUAUUAGGGAAGAACAAAUGUGUAAGUAACUAUGCACGUCUUGACGGUACCUAAUCAGAAAGCCACGGCUAACUACGUG
rnacentral:rRNA from 1 species